UUGAAAAACUAGUUCUUGUAAGAUCGCUGAAGUUAAGCAAUGUCAAGCCUAGUUAGUACCUAGAUGGGUGACCACUUGGGAAUACCAGGUGCCACAA